AAAAGCCACUUCCACUACGAAAAUCCUGUCCUUUGGUAGAAGAUGAAAUAUUAUUCAUUGAUGCUCCUAUAGAAGAUUUAUUAUGCUGGUUCUGAUUUGGUAUUGACUGACCCACACCCAUCAAUGUUUGCUGCCCUGAAGGUGUAUUAUUCCUCCAAUUGCUAUUCCUAUGAUUAACCUUCUUUCUAUUGGUUUUCUUGUUUCCAAAUGUCUGGUAAUUCAUGCCCCUUUUUGACAUUUUUUGCAUUCUCCUGUACUCUGCCUCCUUUUCAUCAUCUGAGAACUCUGCAUCAUCUGACAACUCUUCAUCAUUCUCACCAGACGCAUCAUAACCUUUCUUGUAAAGAUUCUUAUCGCCGAGAAUAUGAUUGGCAAACUCGGAAACAAAAGAAAUCAAAGUUCCUUGACAGAUUCCAGCAGGGACUUCACUUUCAGAAUUGUAUCUCACCAUGUAGUAGGGGUACUGAACUGGACCAAAUAUCUCAUCUACAAUCCCUAAUGGAGAUCUAUUUUCAGUUAUCCAAAGGAUUGAACCCUCAUUAAGAGGGUUGUGCUUCUCCACCCCUUCCACAAUGACUUGGGCACUUAUAAUCGACAAAACAGCUCCAACGGGCUGCAUCUGAUGAUGCGGUUGCAAUGUGGCAUCCACUGAUGGAAUAGGAGGGAGAACCGUAAGCUCAUUCUUUGACCUAAUAGGUCCUCUCAAAACAACGGCAUCCCCUUCCUCUUCCUCAUCAAUAUCAUCAAAUUCAGUCUCGCUCCAUUCAACCAUCUUGUUUCCAUCGUCCUCUUCCUCUUCAUAAUCAUCAUUCUUACCAACCAUCUCCUCUCCAUUAACAUUCCUUAUCUCACCUUCUUCAAUCUCACCCUCCACUUCUUCCUCCUCAUUCUCUUCCUCAUCGCUCAUCUUUCCCUCCUCUUCCUCAUCGCCAUCGCUACUGCUAUCAGAGGAUGAACUGCUUUCACUAGCAGAUUCAGAAUCACUUCCCCUAUCAUCCUUGUCACUGUUUACCACAUUAUUCACAUGGCUUCCAGUACCAGCAUCUGUGCUCAACCCAGUGGGCAAAUUAACAUUGCCAAUAUCCAUCUCAUCACUUGCUACGCCACUGUUGACAACACUCCCAUCAGGAAACACAGAGCUCGACCCGGCAACUAAACUUACCUUUCCCAUCUCUGUUUCAUUACCCACUGUUUUCUCAUCACUACAAAUGGGACUUGACACACCAACCAAACUAACCCUGCCCAUCUCCUCUUCAACACAGCCAGAGCCAUCUACAAUUGCCUUCGAGCCAUUGACAAUUUGCCUCAACUCUUCAAAACUUGGGUUCGACUGUGGUUCAAUAGACAACCCUUUAUCACCCAUCUCCAUACCCUUGUCAAUCUUCCCGAAAUCACUCUUAUCUAAACUAUCUACAAUUGGCUUAGAGCAAUUGACAAUUUGCCUCAGCUCUUCAAAACUUGGAUUGGACUGUGGUUCAAUAGACAAGCCAUUAUUACCAAUCUCCAUGCCCUUGUCAAUAUUCACGAAAUCACUCUUAUCUAAACUAACUGUAUCUGAGACUGAGCUCUCUUCAAAAAACUCCUUUAUGGAGUCAAAAUCGAGAAACGAAUCAGCAAACGAUAAAUCAGUCAAUUUUGAAUCUUCAAGUGGGUCUUUCAAGUUUUUAGACUUUGAAGCUUGAUUGUGGCGGUCUUCUUCAACAAUGGUGGGUUCAGGUAUACACUCGACCAUGUCUGAGAAAAGAAAGAUUGGAGCUUUGGGGGUUAGAAUAUAGGUUGCAGAGAGCAAAAUUAAAUUUCAUCGCUGCAAAAAGGAUACGUAAAGAACAUAUAUAUACGGCUGUUUUCUUUGAGAAUGUUUUGCAUCUUAAACCCUAGCGGGAAGAAGGGGACGCUAGGGUUUGGCGGUGGAUUCGGC
rnacentral:misc_RNA from 1 species